rnacentral:rRNA from 1 species
GCCCAGACAUAAACUUUAAACUACACCAUUAAUCGCCCGGGAACUACGAGCAAAGCUUAAAACCCAAAGGACUUGACGGUACCCCAUAUCCCCCUAGAGGAGCCUGUCCUAUAAUCGAUAACCCCCGUUUAACCUCACCACUUCUAGCCCAUCAGCCUGUAUACCUCCGUCGUAAGCUUACCCCGUGAGCGAUAUUUAGUGAGCCUAAUGCCCGUACGCCAACACGUCAGGUCAAGGUGCAGCAAAUGUAGUGGAAAGAGAUGGGCUACACUUUCUAAUAUAGAAAAAUACGAAAGACUACCAAUGAAAGUCAGUCUAAAGGUGGAUUUAGUAGUAAAAAGAAACUAGAGAGUUCUUUUUAACCUGGCACUGGGGUGUGU